rnacentral:misc_RNA from 1 species
UUUCCGUAGGUGAACCUGCGGAAGGAUCAUUAAGACGGCGUGUUUGGUGGGAGGGAUCGUUUGGUGGGAGGGAGAUUUUGGUGGGAGGGAGAGUUUUGGUUGAUGGUUGAUGGUUGGUGGUUGACGGUUGGUGGUUGACGGUUGGUGGUUGACGGUUGGUGGUUGACGGUUGAUGUUUUUAUCACUAUCACUAUUGCUAUUGCUAUUACCAUUACCAUUACUAUCACACUCAUUCACACUCAUUCACACUCACCUCUCGCCACAUAUUUGCGCUUCGUGUGUAUGACAGAGUUGUAAUUGUAUUAAAGGAUUUUAAGGUUGUAUUACGAGUUGGAUUUGAAAUACGAGGUACCUUUGUACCAUUUGUAUUACAAGCUACAUUUGUAGCGUGUGUAUUACGAGCUACAUUUGUCCCAUUUGGAUGACUCGUAUCACUAUAUCACUCACUAUACAUUACGUUUACAUCAUUUACACUUUUUUACAUGACUUUUAACAAUAAAUCUCUUGGCUCUAGCCUCGAUGAGGUAC